UACGGAGGGUUCAAGCGUUAUCCGGAUUCACUGGGGUUAAAGGGUGCGUAGGCGGAUCGGUAAGUCCGUGGUGAAAUCCUGCAGCUUAACUGCAGAACUGCCAUGGAUACUAUUUAUCUUGAAUGUCGUGGAGGUUAGCAGAAUAUGUCAUGUAGCGGUGAAAUGCUUAGAUAUGACAUAGAAUACCCAUUGCGAAGGCAGCUAACUACGCGAUAAUUGACGCUGAUGCACGAAAGCGUGGGGAUCAAACAGG
rnacentral:rRNA from 1 species